rnacentral:rRNA from 1 species
UACGUAGGGGGCAAGCGUUGUCCGGAAUCAUUGGGCGUAAAGAGCGUGUAGGCGGUUCGGUAAGUCCGCUGUAAAAGUCCAGGGCUCAACCCUGGAAAGCCGGUGGAAACUGUCGAGCUAGAGUCCGGAAGAGGCGAGUGGAAUUCCUGGUGUAGCGGCGAAAUGCGCAGAUAUCAGGAGGAACACCAAUGGCGAAGGCAGCUCGCUGGGACGGUACUGACGCUGAGACGCGAAAGCGUGGGGAGCAAACAGG